AUUGAACGCUGGCGGCAUGCCUUACACAUGCAAGUCGAACGGCAGCAUAGGAGCUUGCUCCUGAUGGCGGGUGGCGAACGGGUGAGUAAUAUAUCGGAACGUGCCCUAGAGUGGGGGAUAACUAGUCGAAAGACUAGCUAAUACCGCAUACGAUCUACGGGUGAAAGUGGGGGAUCGCAAGACCUCAUGCUCCUGGAGCGGCCGAUAUCUGAUAGCUAGUUGGUGGGGUAAAAGCUCACCAAGGCGACGAUCAGUAGCUGGUCUGAGAGGACGACCAGCCACACUGGGACUGAGACACGGCCCAGACUCCUACGGGAGGCAGCAGUGGGGAAUUUUGGACAAUGGGGGCAACCCUGAUCCAGCAAUGCCGCGUGAGUGAAGAAGGCCUUCGGGUUGUAAAGCUCUUUUGUCAGGGAAGAAACGGUUCUGGAUAAUACCUGGGACUAAUGACGGUACCUGAAGAAUAAGCACCGGCUAACUACGUGCCAGCCGCCGCAGUAA
rnacentral:rRNA from 1 species